UACGGAGGGGGUAAGCGUUAUUCGGAAUUAUUGGGCGUAAAGAGCUCGUAGGCGGUGUGUCGCGUCGGCCGUGAAAACCUGGGGCUUAACUCUGGGCUUGCGGUCGAUACGGGCAUCACUGGAGUUCGGCAGGGGAGACUGGAAUUCCUGGUGUAGCGGUGAAAUGCGCAGAUAUCAGGAGGAACACCGGUGGCGAAGGCGGGUCUCUGGGCCGAUACUGACGCUGAGGAGCGAAAGCGUGGGGAGCGAACAGG
rnacentral:rRNA from 1 species